rnacentral:lncRNA from 1 species
UGUAUUCUGCCCAAGUAUAUCUGUGCACCAUGUGCAUGCGUGGUGCCCAAGGAGGCUGGAAGACAACAUCAGAACUCCUGGAACUGGAGCUACACAGUCGUGAGCUACCAUGUGGGAACUGGGAAUUGAACCCAGGUCCUCUGAAGGAACAGGAAGUGAGAGUUCUUAACCACUGAGCCAUCUUUCCAGCACCCCAGAAGUGUAUUUUAUUAUACCUCAGGUUUGUUUUGGGUGCAGUAAUGGUUGACAGCCAUGUAGAUUUUAGGACCUAUUAGACAAUUGUUGUCUAGUUGAAUUUUGGGGUGGGGGUGCUGUGACAGUCUUAGCCUUUCGAUCAUCCAAAUUACAGGUAUGAGUUACCUUGCAGAGUAUUCUUCCUCAUAUUUCAAUGUGCUUCGAAUUCCCAGAAGAAUUGUUAGAAAGCUGGUUCUGGUGAAUUUUCACCGGUAAUAGUGGCAAGACUCAGCAUGGAGGAUUACAGGGUGUGUCCUUCCCUGGAGAACCCAGCCCAAGAGGAAAUGCCAAUCAGUGUUCACAGGCUCACCUUACCAUGCAGCUGAACUGUCUGAGAUUGCCCGCACUAUAAAUAUAGCAAGUAUAAUAAAGAGACCAGCACCCUAGAUACCUGCAAGGGCACCCACAUGUUUACCUGCCUGUUGGGCGUGUGCACUAUUCCCUGCUUUAAGAGUGGGGAGCUCUGCCACUCGAGAGGUAGAAUGCUGGGCUUCAGUCUGAAGGCAGGCUCCCAUGUUGUCUUUACGUGCUUGGCUCUUCUAUGCAGUACUGCCGAGCCUUCUGAAAAAGAAAAGAGGGACCUGUGUGUAUCGGCAAGCUUUCUAAAGCGACUGUUGAGAGCCAGUAUGCUGCCAAACAUGGCACUCUGUUGAACGUUUCAGAACUUUCUGUGGAGCUAAAUAGCACACUGCUGAUAGUAGAUACUUCUGCUGAGUAGCGACAGCAAAGACUUUUUUCAGUUAAUGUCCUAUUUCUGUUUGAAUUGCCUACAUUGAGCUUACAUCUUCUAAUAGAAACACGCACUGUGUGUGUAUGUGAUAUCCCAAGUCUUACCAUUCCCUCCCAAAGCUUGCCUAUGGUUAAUAUCAGUUCAGAAUUCCUGCCUACAUCCCUCCAGCUCAUCUGGGUUCAGUCUGUCAGUGUUUUCCACCAGGUUCCAUUACAGCGUGUGACACAGUGCAUCUAUCACAAAUAGAUGUCUGGUUUUGUCUCGACUGAAAACACCUAAAGCAAGGAUCAUAUUGAGAACACAGUGCCUGGUGUCACAGACCUUUGUCCCUGCUGUAGAUUACAGUGCUAUUUACGGUGCACUUACGCAUUCUUACACCCUUUGAGGGCCAUGGGUAAACUUUCUGAACCUGUGAUACCAGAACUCACUCUCUCCUAGCAGAGGUGUGCUGCAUAAGGGGACUGG